AGCAGCAUGGCCUAGUGGAAAGAGCAUGGUCCUGGAAGCCAGAGAACCUGGGUUCCAAUCCCAGUUCUGCCA
rfam:Ornithorhynchus anatinus chromosome 2, whole genome shotgun sequence.